rnacentral:misc_RNA from 1 species
GCAAACUUGGUCAUUUAGAGGAAGUAAAAGUCGUAACAAGGUUUCCGUAGGUGAACCUGCGGAAGGAUCAUUAAUGAAACUUCUACAUGUGGCUCAGCAAUGGCGCUGAGUUACAUAUGAAUGAGUGCAGUCGCAAACGUUAAACAUGAGGUAAGGAGGAGGACACCUUGUGAACCGUGGCCUUUCGGGGCUUUAUACAAACUCUAGUGAUGUCAAUGAAUGUCAUUGUUAUUCAUAACAAAUACAACUUUCAACAACGGAUCUCUUGGCUCUCGCAUCGAUGAAGAACGCAGC